UGCUGGUCUCCUCGCGACGAUAUGUUGGUUAGCCCGUCAGGCCCGGAAGGGAGCAGCGGAGCCUUCGGACUCGAGCGCCGAGAUCUGGCUGGUACGG
rfam:Methylophaga sp. 41_12_T18 BD02T18_scaffold_1068, whole genome shotgun sequence.